rnacentral:rRNA from 1 species
CUACACAUGCAAGUCGAACGGCAGCACAGGAGAGCUUGCUCUCUGGGUGGCGAGUGGCGGACGGGUGAGGAAUACAUCGGAAUCUACUCUGUCGUGGGGGAUAACGUAGGGAAACUUACGCUAAUACCGCAUACGACCUACGGGUGAAAGCAGGGGAUCUUCGGACCUUGCGCGAUUGAAUGAGCCGAUGUCGGAUUAGCUAGUUGGCGGGGUAAAGGCCCACCAAGGCGACGAUCCGUAGCUGGUCUGAGAGGAUGAUCAGCCACACUGGAACUGAGACACGGUCCAGACUCCUACGGGAGGCAGCAGUGGGGAAUAUUGGACAAUGGGCGCAAGCCUGAUCCAGCCAUACCGCGUGGGUGAAGAAGGCCUUCGGGUUGUAAAGCCCUUUUGUUGGGAAAGAAAUCCAGCUGGCUAAUACCCGGUUGGGAUGACGGUACCCAAAGAA